GGAGGAUGCGAGCGUUAUCCGGAUUUAUUGGGUUUAAAGGGUGCGUAGGCGGAUAGAUAAGUCAGUGGUGAAAACCUGCAGCUUAACUGUAGACUUGCCGUUGAUACUGUCAGUCUUGAGUAUGGUCAAGGUAGGCAGAAUGUGUAAUGUAGCGGUGAAAUGCUUAGAUAUUACACAGAACACCGAUUGCGAAGGCAGCUUACUGGGCCAUUACUGACGCUGAUGCACGAAAGCGUGGGGAUCGAACAGGAUUAGAUACCCUGGUAGUCCACGCCGUAAACGAUGAUCACUCGCUGUUAGCGAUACACAGUUAGCGGCUAAGCAAAAGCAUUAAGUGAUCCACCUGGGGAGUACGGCCGCAAGGCUGAAACUCAAAGGAAUUGACGGGGGCCCGCACAAGCGGAGGAACAUGUGGUUUAAUUCGAUGAUACGCGAGGAACCUUACCUGGGCUUAAAUGUAGAGUGCAUUCAGCUGAAAGGCUGAUUUCCUUCGGGACUCUCUGCAAGGUGCUGCAUGGUUGUCGUCAGCUCGUGCCGUGAGGUGUCGGGUUAAGUCCCAUAACGAGCGCAACCCUUAUCGUUAGUUGCCAGCGGGUAAUGCCGGGAACUCUAACGAAACUGCCGGUGUAAACCGAGAGGAAGGUGGGGAUGACGUCAAAUCAGCACGGCCCUUAUGUCCAGGGCUACACGCGUGUUACAAUGGCCGGUACAGAGGGCAGCUAUGCCGCGAGGCAAUGCGAAUCUCGAAAGCCGGUCUCAGUUCGGAUCGGAGUCUGCAACUCGACUCCGUGAAGCUGGAUUCGCUAGUAAUCGCGCAUCAGCCAUGGCGCGGUGAAUACGUUCCCGGGCCUU
rnacentral:rRNA from 1 species